UUCCUCAAUGCAAUUGAAAUUUAAAUGUAGAUAAUAUGGUAAUCAAACUAUUGUUCAAAUGUCCAAAAGAUAUCCAAAAUAGGUGAAAAAUAUAAUGUAGAACGUGAUUUUACGGUAGAAAUCGUGAAAGCCAAAGAGAAGAAAACGGUUGGUUGUGAUUUUGGGGCCCUAAAAUUAAAUUGGGAAUGUAAUUUGAAUUGAGGAAUUUAGUUGAAUUGAAAAGGGUGUUAAUGUCUUUUCCAAUGAUGGGGAUAUUUAUGACAUUUGACAUUGUUUAUCAAUUGUAUUUUAUAAUUAGAGGCCAUUUGACCAAGAAACAAUGGGAGGAUAUUAUUUAACCAAAGACAUGGUUUGAUUAGGCUAUUUAACCAAUUCUCCCUUUUUUCUAUUUCUUAUUGCUUUUAUUGACUUUCCAUUAAAAUGACUUGAAUCGACAUUGUUCAUCGAGGACUAUUGCCACAAACCUGUAAGUUUAGGACAUCUCCUGCGAAAAAGAAAAGGACAAAAAAAUGAGAGGCCAAGGACCUAUUUGUUACAUCAUGAUGAAAAGGUUGGAAACCUUAGUAUUAACUUAUCUAAAAUGAAAAUUAAGAUUUAGUUCCAUGAGUUAGCUCCUAAAGCUGUUGCUAUUAGGCACUUUGUAGUUCUUAGUUAACAAGAAAGUAAAUGAUGUAUUUUCAAUUGUGGUCUUAAUUUUUCAUUGGUUUUCGUUUUCUCUCCUUUAAAUACAUAAAAUCACGGAUUAAAUGGGAUUUACGUGUAGCGACGAUGUUGUUUCGACAAUUUUCUUGUCAAUUUUUUAUGAGAAAAGAUGAAUAAAAUUAACAUUCACAUAUCGGUUGCCUUCACCGUAUUCACACUUAAUGGACUUGUUGUCAAAGUGCAACGAGAGCUGCAUAAUCUUUGUCCGUUGAGAAUAAUGAUUUUCUCAUUUAACAAAUCAUACAUAAGAUAAUCGCAAUCAACUAAUGUAUCAUCAAUAAUUCCGUAAAAACUUUUGUAUUUUUGUACAAAUAAUGUAUAAAUUAAAUAGGUGUGGAAAGUGAUAAUUAAACCUACUUCAAUAAUGCAACCCAAGAAAUAAAGCAUAAACUAAGUACGGCAUACUUAAACAUGACCAUGUUAUAGAGGUAGAUGGGCUGCUAUUUUUGGUGUGGCCACUUGGAUUGCCAUUUAGUGGACGCACCACACCACCGCCACCACCAACGCCGCCACCCCUUGCUCCACCGCCUCCACGACCAACUGCAGUGGUGAGGAGGAGGCAAAUUAUUGUAAGCACGAAAGCAUAUUUUAUAGCGCGCUGCAUCUCUUCAAUGUCUAUUAAAAAGCUCACAAGAAUUGAGUUUUUCCUUUUUCUGGAGAAUAAACUGAAUUUUGAAACUCUCCUGCUGCUGGUGCCCUCAGAUCUCUGAUUCAUGGAUCUUAUAUAUACAGCAGUAGCACACGACAACGCGGUGCGGCGGAAAACUCCACGAAGUAUUGGUUGAAAAUCAAAAUAGGCGUGUCUCAUAGUUAUACAAAUGGCGGAAAGUCUCUAUCAUGAUAGUCAAAAAGUUACAGCUCCUAAAUUAAGGGUGCAAUUUGGUAUUAAUUUCCAUUCAUUUUCACCGCAAGUCUGAAACAAUUUAUUAAUAAUCUCCCAUGUGCACAAAUUUCAUUAAAUUUUAAUAUGGAUAUACUAGAAAUUUUCGCAGCCCCGUAUGGAAAGCCAGCAUUCUCUUAUCACUUUUUAUUUGACAUGUAUAUUAAAUAAAUGACACUGAAGUUUAAUUAAGAUUCAUAAAAAAAUAUAUACACACACUUAUAUGAUGAAAAGUGGCCGAAAGUAUAGACUUUCAAUACUGUUUGAUCGCCUUUAAUUUACUUUAAUUUAUUUCUUAUAUUUAUUUUCAACAAUACAUUCAUAUAAUAAAAUAUACUACAUGUAAAUUCAAAACUUCUUCCUACUUUUUAAUCAUAUAUUCUCCAAAAAAAAAAAAAAAAAUACUAUUCACAACAAAUGUUUUUUUUUUUUUUUUUUAAUUAAAGUUCACAAAAUAGGGGCUACGAGAGUACUAAAGUUUUUUCAAAUAUAGGUGAUCAUGUUUAAUAAAACUUUUGAUAAAAGUUUUUAUAAACUUUGAUAAAAGUUAUUAAAAUAUAUAGCCAUUGUUCUAUAAAAAUUUUAAUCUUUAAUCUAAACCAAAGUCAAUUAAUUUUAAUAAUACAUUUUAUGGGAUUCAUAAUUUUUUUCACCACAUAUUUCAUUAACUUUUAUCAAAAUGCACUAAAAAUUUAAUUUUAAUUUUGACCAAAUAGAAACAUAAUUAAAAAAAAAUGAUAAAAUUUUGAAUCUCAUUAAAAUUGUAGCUAAAAUUUAUUAUUAACUUUUGCACUAUCAUUUAAUUUUUUUUAAAACUAUUUCAAUAAACGCACAAUAAAGGACGAAGGGUGAGUACGAGUUUCCUUAAAAAUGGACUCAUUUGUUAGUGUCGAUUUGAUUUGUGUCUUAGUUUUUAAUUUUGAGUUUUGAACUCAUUUUGAUGUUCUGUUUUGAGUGUUUAUUUUAAGAUUGCUAAAAAAGUGAUUGGUUAAUUAUUUCGAAAAAUUAGUUUUCAAAAUAGAAAACACGUUUGGCUUGAAAUUUUGAAAAGUCAUUUUAUGAAAUUUUAUUCUACAAAAUCUGAUAAUUUCUUUAGUGAUAUUCCACUAUUAUUUUCUCUUCUCUUUCCUCUCCUGGUUGCUUGGAAAGCAUCACCCCCUUUGUGUCCUUUGUAGGUUAGAAGAAGGGUAAUCGGAGUGGGUAGAAAUAGGCAAUCUACAAUUUGGAUGGCCUAAGUUAUUGAGUUGGAUUUAGUUAGUUGAAUGGUGAUAUUAGUUAGCCAAUUUGUUUUUUACUUUUGCCCAUGUGUUAGAGGCCCAUUUAGAGUGAGAGAUUGGCCCAAAAAGUGACCUAAUGUUUGGGAGAGAUUUCUACCAUUGUUGUUUGUUCUUCUUCUUCCUACUCAUUCUAAUACCACUACCAUCAUUCUCCUUUGUGGGGUUGAGAGGACUUGUUGCAACCAAAGUGAAUGCAACGUAUAGUUAAGAAAUCUAUGAUUUUUGGGUUUUAAAACGGGUUGAAAAAGCCUUGGUGAUUGUGGUGUUCAUUUGGUUAAUUUUUCUGAGAUCAUAUCAAGAUUUCUCCAAAAAAUGGUAUUAGAGCUUGUAUAGUUAAGAAAUCUAUGAUUUUUGGGUUUUAAAACGGGUUGAAAAAGGCUGAAAACAAAGUUGGAAACCGGGUAGAGAGAUGGAUAAAAUUUUGGGAUUUUAUUUCAAAGCUAUUGAAAUUGUUUUGGUGUUUUUCUACCAAACCACUUAUCUGUUGGAGAAACAGAGACCAUUGAUGGACUUGGCAGGGCGGGGCUCAUUAGGGUGGCUAGCACGUGAGGUUCAACAUCGACCCGCAGAAUGUCGGUGAGGCCCGUGACGACACGUCAAGAAGAUUCCGCCAAUGGCAUCAAAAGAUAAUUUGUUGCCGACAACGAGACAGACUCUGUGAUGUUGUCGAAUUUUUAUUUCAAGCAGUAUAGUGAAAUCUAGAUGACUUUGCCCAUCGAUGUUCGGGUGUCGGGUACCAUUUUGUAUUGCUGGGGUUGCUGAAAAUUUUAGGAUGAAUAGUGGCGGUAGCCAGGGAUGACAAUCGGGCUCGUCGGCUCGGGGCUAGGUAGACCCGAGCCUAGGCUCGGGCCGAGCCCCAUUUUGGGGACCCUGGCUUUGCUCGAGCCGGCCCGUGAACUCGAAAGCUUUUUUAAAAAAAAAAAAAAUUUGAGGCUGCCUUGUCUUCAAGGAAGCAAUUUAGGGAAAAUAAAUAAAUAAAUAAAUAAAAAUAAAAGAAGGGAGAAAACGAGCCUGCCCAGCUCGGGUCGAGCCUUUUUUUUGGCCGAGAGCCCGCAAAAAAGCUCGAUCAUUUUAACCGAGCCGAGCCCGAGUCAAAACUUUAAGCUCGCGAGCAGGCUCGGCCCGGCUCGUUUACAUCCCUAGCGGUAGCCCUAAAGUAGUGAAUUCUCAUCUUUCCUAGUAGAUAUUGUCCGUCUGGUAUCAUAUUGUUUGCCUUUUAUUAUUGCUGUAGAGACUUGUGUAGCAUGGUCAUUUAUUUUAUCAUUAGAAAUCGUGUGGGGGUGAUGUUAGGUUUGGGUUACCUUGAAAGGGUAACCAUUGCCCAUUGUUAAACUUAGGAAUUACUUGUUAAUUAUUCGCCAUAAAUUAUUUAUGAAUUUAUUGCCAAAUAAUUUUUUCACUGUUACAAUUGCAAGUGACCUUAAGAAAGCUUUGUUUGACUAUUCUGUUGGAAUAUGUUGAUACUUUGUGUGCGGAUGUUGUUGGUUGUAUUUUGUGUUUUGGCAUUUUUUCAUAAAAUGACGACACAUUUUGAGUUCCUUUUUUUUUAAAUGGAAAAAAUGUGAGUUUUUCAAUUUGACUAAAUGAAUUUAUUUAUUUUAUUAUUAUUAUUAUUAUCAUCAUCAUCAUCAUCAUCAUCAUCAUCUUAAUAAAAUUGUUGAAGGCAAAUAUAAGUCUAAGACAAAUGCAAAAAGUAAUAUGUGUUUUAACUGCGGUAAAUUAGGACAUGGUGAAAUAGACUGUCAUAGGAAUGAUAAUAAAAGGAAAGUAGUGAGACGAAUGUUGCCACUAGGUCGAGUUAUGACUCAAGUGAGGUUUAUUGAGAGUAAACUGCGUUACUACAUGUGCAUCUAUAUAUAAUAUUUUCUGCAUGUGUGUGAUUGCUUAAUUCUGUUGCAUUGAUAUGUUAUACUUUCAAUUUGUUUGUGUAUGUAAUUGGGUGGUCUUAUUACUUUGUGUAAUGUGUUUCCAUGCACAAUGGGUUAAGAUCUAUAGAGUACUUAUUUUACCAUGUUGGCGGUGUGAGCUCUGUGAGUGGUGUAUGAGAGUGUGGUAGUGAGAAGAAAGAUGGGUGACCUUUUUCUCCUUUAUCUUUGUGAGCCCGCGUAGUUCGUGAGAUCAUGUGAGACAGCCAUGCUAAGGUUAUCUUUUUUUCUCGUUGUGAGCAUCCUUUGUAAGUGUAGUGAAGUAACCAACUCUCUCUUCUAUUCUCUUUGUUAACGUCAUCUUCACCCUUCUCUUAUGGGAUAAAUUAUUCAUAAAUUUUUUGAGCAUUGGUGUUUGAGUAACUUUGUGGUUCGUAGAUCAAUUUAAAUUGAGCCCUAACUUUUAUGGUUGCCAAAGAUGUUAUUUUUGCCAUAGUAGGGUUUGAGAUGCAUUAGUAGUAAGUGUGAGGUUGUCUUUUGGUAAUGUGGGGUAUAUAUACCUAGGGGUACAUUGGUGAUUUGUACUGGGAAGUGGAAUGUGAUAUUUGGAUCACGAGUCAAGAGGUGAUUAAACGUUGAAAUUCGUUAUCUGUGAAGACUCUGAUCAAGUAGAGUGUAAGAGAGACAUUCAAAUCACUUCUAUUAGGUGUAGAUCCAUUAUCUACUUAGGUUGAGAGAAGUGAGGUGAUGAUAGAGGAUAAUCCCUGGACUUUGGAUCUAUAGUGAUUUACCAGUUAGACAUGAGUUAGUAACCAAUCUAAUGAGAAAUGGUGGCCGAUUGAGAAGAGAUAUGUGUUCUCGAGGUGCAAGUAAUAUAGAAUGGAACAGGAUAAGCGAGGUGAAAUAUUUUCGUAGAGUCAUUUAUGCAUUUAUUGCACAUGUGUUGGUCGUUUGAUUGAUUAAUUUGAUGUUAGUUUGUUGUUUUACUUUUUUUUUGGAUAAGGUAAGUAUAUUAUAUCCAAAGUGUAAAAAUAAAGUACAAAUCACAGGGGCAUACCCCAGGAAACAAUGCUAGGAAUAAAUGCCUUCCUAACAACAAUAACAGAAACCUAAAUUAGUGCUCAUAUCCUAAUCACGACAAUAAAAAAUAUUCGCAGAAAAACUCCAAGAGCGUUGGAGCCACCUAUUCUCAUUAGAUGGAACCAAGCCCCUACAUGAAUUCACUCGUGCACAAAUAGAGAAAAUAAUAUCUUGAAUAAUAGCAAACUCAUGUUUAGGAGCCUCCCCAUAGGUCCUAGAAUUGCGCUCACGCCAAAUAGCAUAAAUCGAAGCUGCAAACAUCAACUGAAUAACGAUGGAAGACAAUGACUUCCCACGAAAUUGUUCCAUCCAAGAAAGAGUAUCUGGCCAACGCCGUUGAACCCAAGGCAAGUUACAUUUCGCAUGCAAAGUAUUCCAAACACGCUCAGAAAAUGGGCAAGUAAAGAAAAGAUUAUUCAAAUCCUCCACUGAACAAUCACACAGCACACAACGCAUAGACUGUACCAAACCAAAGCGAAGAAGCUUUGUCUGUGUAUAGAUGUCACCUUGAAUAGCUAGCCAAAGGAUGAAUGCAUGACGUGGAAUACAUUUAGGGAACCAAACAAUAUGAUACCAAGCUACCCUAUGGCAGCAAAGUCGAAGAGACUCCCAAGCACUCCGAACAAAGAACACUCCCAGUGCAUCAAUCUCCCAUCAUAAUACAUCUUCUCUAUUACUAUCCGGCCAAAAAGUGGCAAGCGUAUCUCGCAUUAAGUCAGAUAAAGCUGGGGAACGAACUGAUGGCCAUCUCUAAGUAUCACCCUCAACAAUAACAGCCACCUUAGCUAGUCUACUCAAUUUGGAUUCACGAAUUAUCCUCUCUCCAAAAAAUCUUCUCUAAAGGGCCAAGAGGAUGUCAAUUAUCAUACCAAAGCGAGGCACUUCUACCAUUACCAAUUCUGAAUUUCAUUUUGUCCCUUCCUAUAUCCCAGAGUCCAAGAAUCUUCCUCCAACUCCAAGAGAAAUCCCUAGGACACUUCAAUUCCCAAAUGCUCCAUCCUUUAAGUAAAUAACAAUGUGCCCAUGAAACCUAAAGAGAGGAGGCAGAAUCCGUACAAAGGGACCAAAGGUACUUUAACAUGGCAGCCUUAUUCCAAAUCUCCAAGCUCCAUAGACCCAAACCGCCCUCUUCCUUAGGCAUAUAGAUUUUUGCCCAAGCCACUUUAGCCCCCACUGAUGCCAAGGUCACUACUCUUCCAUAAGAAGGCCCGUAGUGAAUUUUCCACUUGCUUGAUCACAGCCUUAGGUAAAAGAAAUACAAAGGACCAAUAGACCUAAAUAGAAAAUAAUACUGACUUAAUAAGUUGUAACCUGCCUGCAUAGGAGAGCGCUCGACAAGUCCAACUCUUAGCCCUAGCUAUAAUACGGUCCACCAGUUUCUUACAAUCCAAAGCCCUCAAUUUGGUAGAGAUAAGCGAAACACCAAGAUAACGUACCGGUAACACGCCUUCCUUAUACCCCAAGACAUCAAGCAACUGAUCCUUAAGAUAUGAAGAAACACCACUGGCAAAUAGAUUACUCUUAUCUAAAUUAGGAAUAAGUCCAAAAAGAGCUUUGAAUCGAUUAAUGCAUUUUCCAAUGAGAGAAACUGAACCAACCUCAGCCCUACAAAAGACCAUAAGAUCAUCAGCAAAAUACAAGUGGGUGAUCUUCUCCUUCUCACACCUCCAGUGGUAUUUAAAGUCCUAUUCAGAAACCAUCAACCCCAUUAAACCUGAGAAGACCUCCAUUGCCAAGACAAACAAAUAGGGUGACAAAGGAUCUCCUUGCCUCAAACCUCACCCGCCCGCAAAGAAACCAUGCAGCUCCCCAUUAAUGGAAAUCGAAGAACGAGUGGUAGUGACACACUCAAUAAUCCACCUAACAACUCUCUCGGGAAAACCAAUCACCCUAAAAACCGCAAAGAGGAAAUCCCAAUGAAUAGAAUCAUAUGCUUUCAUGAGAUCAAUUUUAAGAGCACACCUAGGUAAUCCUCCCAUGCGGUGAUCAUUCCUCAACAAUUCUUGGGAAAGAAGGAUAUUAUCACUAAUAUGCCGUCCUUUAACAAAUGCAGUUUGUUGGGGCCCACAAUGUCUGGGAGCACCGUUUUAACUCUAUUGGCAAUAAGCUUAGCAAUACAUUUAUAAAUAGUAUUGCAACAAGAGAUAGACCUAAAGUCCUUUACCUGAGAAGGAUUAUGAACCUUAGGGACCAAUGAGAUGGAAGUAGCAUUAACUUGCUUCAAUAGAUGUCCCGAGUCAAAAAAAGGACUUGAUUGCACAUAAGACAUCAUUUCCCACAAUACUCCAAGUCCUCCUGAUGAAAACUGCAUUAAAACCAUAUGGCCCUGGAGCCUUGUUGUCUUUCAAAGAGAACAAAACCUCUUUAAUCUCCUCAAAUGACACAUCUCUAUCAAGGCUUUCAUUCUACACUGCUGAUAUACUCUUAGGAAGAGCUUUUCGAAGCAAGUCCAUAUCUAGACUCUCACCACUAGACUGUUGACCAAGGAGAUUUUGAUAGAACGCAACAAUGACUUCACUGAUCUCAUGUGGCUCCUCCACUCUAGUACCAUCAUCUUUACAAAUAGAAACCAUCUUACUUUUGCCAUAGUGACUUUUCAAAACCUUGAAGAAGAAAGCAGUAUUCUGGUCACCUAAAUUCAGCCAUUUAACACGAGAUUUUUGUCUCAAAAAGCCUUCUUCAGCCCUACUCAACUCACAAAAUUCCUUUUGUAACCGAGCCUCUUCCCUAUGUAACGAUGAAUCCAAAGGCGAAUGUUGAAUCAAACACUGAACAUGUUCUAUGUCAGUCCGAGCUUGAGUAACUCUCGUAGGAAGUUUUGAAAAAUGCUCCUUAUUAAAAUGUUUCAAGGCGAGCUUCAGUUUUUUCAACUUCGAACACAAACAAAACAUAGGGGUUCCCACGACUGCUUCACCCCAUACCUGAGCCACCAAAGGAAUGAUAUCCGGAUGACCCAUCCAAAAAUCAAAGAAACGGAAUGGAAUCUUUCUACGCGGUAAUUCUGCAAGUUUAACAACCAUAGGAGAAUGAUCCGACACUCCAGCAGUAAGAAAUUUAGCUACCGAUCCAUGAAAUUUGUCUUCCCACAUCGAAUUCACCAAUACACAAUCUAGUUUCUUGAGAGUAGGAUCAGAUACACGUUUACUAGUCCAUGUAUAUAAAUAGCCUUCAAACUUCAAAUCAUCCAACCCCACAGUCGCCAUGCAAUUCCCAAGAUCAUUUUGCCACGUAGGUCAAGAAGACGAACCACCUGCCACUUCUAAAGGGGAGAGAACAGAAUUGAAGUCCCCCAUGACCACCAUGGCAAAUAUGUGAAACCUCCAUGCCUAACUACUAAAUCAUCCCAUAGAUCAAGACGCUUAACUGGGAUAUUAUCCCCAUAUACCACUGACACCGCACAACUCCAUUUACUAUUACACGCAUUAACACUAACAUGGAUAGCUUGAGCAGAGGAUCCCACCAACAAGACAUCUACAUCAUUUAGAUUCCAACAUAUCCAAAUUUUGCAUGAGCAUAUUUGAAAAGAUUUGUGUGUUAUCCUAUGUUAUAUUUUCAUUGCAUGUUUAUUUGCUCUUGAUUGUUUUUAGUUAUUAUAUGCUUCUACUUGUGUGUAUUUAUUUAUUUUUUAUUAUUAUUAUUAUUAUUAUUAUUAUUAUUAUUAUUAUUAUUAUUAUUAUUAUUAUUAUUAUUAUUAUUAUUAUUAUUAUAACCUUAGCCCUGAUUAUAUGUAGCAAGUAUGGUAUGUGUUUCAAGUUCGAAAAACAAGUUAAGGUCCGUGAUUCCAAUUUUAUUGGUUACUUUGAUUAUGCGAGUAUAAACUUUGUGUUUUAGUUGCUUACAAGUUGAUUGGGUAUCAAUGUGAAAAUUUGUUGGGUUUUGAUACCCAAUAAGUCCCGACGAUGAUUUAAAACAGAUGUCGAAUAAUUUAUCGACACCAUAUACUUGGCUUGACCUAGAAACAACCUACACUUGUGGAUGGUCCAAAUUAUUGAGUUGGAUUUAGUUAGUCGAAUGGUGAUAUUAGUUAGCCAAUUUAUUCUUUAACUUUGCCCUUUAGUUAUUUAUAGUGAGAGAUUGGCCCAAAAAGUGACCUAAUGUUUAGCAUUUAUAUAUCCAUUAUACAGCCGUGUGAUGGGGGUGUGUGUGUGUAGAGUGUAAGAAGGAAAAGUAGAGAGGGGACAGCCGGCUUGGGGGAAAAUUGGGAAAGAUUUCCACCAUUGUCGUCAUUUCUUCUUCUUCCUACUCUUGCUAAUACUAUCACCAUUAUUUUUUCUUUGUGGGGUUAAGAGGACUUGUGACAAUCAAAGUGGAGGUGAGGUUUUGGAUCAAGAUUAGAUAAUUGUGGUGUUCGUUUGGUUGAUUUUCUAAGCCUGGAUCAAAAUAUCUCCAAGAUUUUCGUGACAAAGACCAAAUACAAUUUCAGUGUUUUUCAAAAUUGAAAACUAAAAAUAACAAACCAAAUGCAUGCUUAAUUUCUGAGGUCUGAUUUCCAGAUAUUUCACAUCAAUGCACCAAUAUCUUUUAAGUUGGUUGGGAAUCACGUUACUCACCAGGGCUAUGAUUGGAAACAAAAUUCACGGCCAAACGAAGUCGUUUUUGAUGAGGAGAGGGAAAACCCCUCCCUAACGCUGGGCAAGAUCAAUAAAUAAGAAGCUUCGCGGUAAAGUAGACUUAUCUAAUUGGGGAACUUAUAGGUUGAACACAAAUACGUUAAUUUUUUGUUCACUUCGAUAUUUACAUAACUUGAAUUAUUUGCUAAUGAACUCAUGUUCUCUUGUCCAUAAAAGGAAGUUUUAUCUUAUCUACUUUGAAGAGAUCUUUAUUUAAGGUUAUCAUAUUAGGAGAGAAUCGUAAGUAAGGUUCACUUGUCACAUCAACAAGUGGACACCUUAUCCCGUCCUCAUGGACAGGAGAACAAUUUCUUUUGUUGAUAUUUGUUUUAUGGAUCAAAUAUAUGCAGUCAUCUAAAUUCCAAUUCUGUGACUUCUGUCACAGUUACGUUAAAUGCUCACAUGUUCAUCUUAUCAACACCAAUUCCAUGUGGCAAACUGGCGAGAGAUUUUUGUGCACACUCAACGUUUGUUAAUGGAUUUGUUGUCAAAGAGCAACGAGAAAGCAUAAUCUUUGUCCAUCCAGAAUAAUGAUUUUCACAUUUCACAAAUCGUACAUAAGAUUAUCGUAAUUAACUACUGUAUCAACAAUAAUUCCAUUAAAACUUUUGUAUUUUUGUACAAAAAAUAUACAAAUUAAAUCGUUGUUAAAAUUGAUAAUUAAUUCCUAAAAUCUACUUUAAUAAUGCAACCCAAGAAAUAAAGUAUAAACUAAGUACGCCAUACUUAAAGACGACAGUGCUAUAGAGGUAGAUGGGCUGCUGUUACUGGAGUGGCGGUUUGGAUUGCCAUUGAUUAGUGGACGCGUCACAGUUCUUGUUCCACCACCGCUGCCUCGACCAAUGCCGCCACCCCUUGCUCCACCGCCUCCACGAGCAACUGCAGAGGUGAGGAGGAGGCAAAUCAUUGAAAGAACAAGAACAUAUUUUAAAGCGUUCUGCAUCUUAUCAAUGUCUAUUAAAAAGCUCCCACGAACUAAUUUUUUUUUUUUUAUAUGAGAAUUAAAUGAGUGUUGAAACUCCGCCUUCUGCUGGUCUGCCCUUUUCUCUCUGAUUCAUGGAUAAUAUAUACAGCACAGCAGUAGCACACAGUAGUGGAAAAGUCAAUGAAUGCCGACUAAUCUAAAAAUCAAAAUAGGCGUGCAUAAUAAGCCCCUAUUUGGCCCCCCCAUUACGGGGAAAAUUUAAUAUAUAGAAUAGUAUUUUUUGAAAAAUGAGUGGUUGAAAAAGAAAGAAAAAUUUUCGAUUGACAUGUAAUAUUAUUUUAUGGAAGAUUGUGUGGUUGAAAAUAGGAGAGAGAAAAAUAGAAUGUAAUGUAAUGAAAACCAAACAAGGGCUAAUUAUACGAAGAAAAUAAGUCAAACCGAAGAAAGUACAUCAUAAUAAAUUAUACCUAACGUUUUAAAAUGUGUUUUCAUUAAUUUUCACCACACGUCUGUAAUUUAAUAAUGUAUUAAUUAUUUUUCACGCGUUUAUAAAUUUUAUCAAUUUUUAUUUCGGUAGUACUAUAAAAUUUCGAAUUUUGAUAAAUUUUUAGUACUUUUAGAGUACAUAAAGUUAACAUUUCGUGUCAAUUUUUAUUUGACGUGCGUAUAAAAUAAAUGAAACUAGCAUUUAAUUGAGUUCAGACAUGAAUAAAUAAUACCCACGUCAAAUAAAAAGUGGUCUUAAGUACUAACUUUUAGUUCUCUAAUAAUCCUAUAUUUUUUUUCGAAUUUUAGCCCCUAUAUGACAAUUAAUAAAAUAAUUUUUUUUUCUCAAACUCAUUUUCAAACACACAUUCUUAUAAGAAAAUAUUUUGUACAUAAAUUCAAAAAAAAAAAAAAAAUCUAUUUUUAACCACACAUUCUUGAAAAAAUCAUUAUUGUAAAACUCAUUUCCUAAAAAAGGUGGGGCUUAAGAAGAAUAGUUUUUCUAUACUUAAAUCAUGAUUGACAGCUUUGUUUAUAUUUGAUGAUGUAACACACUUUUGUUAUUGAUUUUAUCAACACUUAAAAAAAAUUAAUGGCCUCAUUUUUACACAUUAUGCAGGGCCGAACCUGAGAAGAUAUCCAAGAAGCCUCUGCCAAAGGCCCGCAUAGACUCCUGACUAACGAGGCAACGACACUACUCUACAAGUUUGCAACUUCUCCCAAAUCCAAUCGGCGACCGCAUCGUUCGGUCCAUUUCGUUGGGUCAUCAAUUUUGAUUUUCUUUUUUAAACUAAUUUGAUCCUCUUUUACUCUUAACUUUCAGUAAGUGUUAGUUGUUAAGUGACUUGAGUCAAAUACCAUAGCUCCUAAAUUUGCGUCAGGAGUUCAAAAAAUGAAGAAGGGGAAAAGAAUUAAGUCAUUAAUUCGAAGCCAAGCUGAAUAUAUGGAUAAGUACGUUAAUGGCAAGAAAAUAAAAGAGAAGGAAGGAACACCAAAAAAUUUAAUGAUUUAGGAACAACAGAAUCAGGAUGAUAAUGACAAUGUGAAUGAACGGAAAGAGAAUUUAGAAAUGACUGAACCUGCCAAUAUGGAUAAGUCAAUACAGAAUGAUGAAGAUAAUGUUCAACAUGAAAAUUUAAAUCAAGAGAAUUGCUUUUUUUUGAAUUUUGAUGAUCUUGAAAUUGGAAGGAUAUUUACAUUGAUUAAAAGAUAAGGGACUUUUUAGUUGAAAUGUGUCCAAAAAGAAUUAAUGACAUCUUGUUUUUCAGAAAUAAUGUAGACAUUUUAAAUCAUCAUAAUAUAAACGGUUAAUGGAAAAUUGGCAAACAACUGAUAGAAGAUGACUAAUGUAUUCAAUUUCUUUGGAGAAGAUUUUUUAUUCUUUGCAAGUUGACGAUUUGUUGAAAUCUUAUAAGAAUCUUAAGCAGUAUUUGAAACAUAAUGGAAUUCAGACGUUAUAGGUGAUGAAUUGUGUACAGAGAUGAUCAUAUUGAGGUGUUAUUUAACUAGAGAAAUAAAAAGAGCAAUUGAUGUGCUACAUUACUUGAAGAAAAUGAAUGAUUGUUUUAUGAAUGCUUGCAUUGGUUGCAAGAUUUUGCUCACCAUCCCAGUUACUGUUGCAUCCACAGAAAGAAGUUUCUCCAAAUUGAAAUUGAUCAAAACUUAUAUCCGAUCAACUAUGUCACAGCAAAGAUUGAAUGGUUUGACCAUGUCAACAAUUGAAAAAGAAAUAGUUAAAUAACUCGACCAUACAAAAUUGAUUUAUAUUUUUGCCUCGAAAAUCACAAGAGGAGUUGUAUUUAAAGUGAUGGUUUAGAACAUUUUCAUAUUGUUAUUUGAUUAUAAUAUACAUAUUUUAGAUAUUUCAUUUUAUUUGUUGUUUUAUUUUUUGAUUUUAAGUUAACAAAUUUAGUUCCUUAAAUUUCUUAUAAAUGAAAAAAUUAUGGAAAAAUUUCAUAAGUAAGAGUUUAAGUAUCACACAUUUUAAAAUUAAGAAAAAAAGUUUCAAACUUCAAAAAUCAGAUUUUUUUAUUUAAAUUUAUUUGUGAUUUAAUUAAUUAAUUAAUUAUUUUAUUAAUUAAAUGUAUUUAGGUCAUAGAUGUAUACAAUUUUGUCAUAAUUUAAAAUUUUGGUUAGUCAUUUAUUAUUUUUUGGUUACAAAUUAGAAAUUUUAUGUUACAAAUUAUUUUACAGUCACAAUUUAAGAAUUUUAUAGGUCACAAUUUUGUUCAUCGGUUACAAAUCAAAAAACUUAUAAGUCACAAUUUAUUUAUUGGUCACAAAUCACAAAUACUAUAAGUCACGACUUAUUAUACAGUCACAAAUUAUCAAAUUACCGAUCAAAGAUUAACAAUUUUUUAGGUCACGUGGACAAAACUUAUCUUUUUAAUUGGUCACAAUCAGCCAAAUUACGUAUGACCAUUUCAACAUUUGUGACCACCACCUCACCACUGUCAUUAACUGUAACACCACCAAAAUCAUCGGCGCCAGACCCACCACCACCACCACAUCUCACCCCAUCCACCACCUUCACCCACAACCUAGCCAAACGUCACAACGAUCACCACCAAAAUCGGCAUCGCAACCUCACCACCACUACCAACAAAACACACACCAAAAUCACUCCACAACCACAACAAAAUUAGAUCCAAAACUGCAACAGCGAUCGACCUCCACCAUUGCAGAAUGAUGCUCAUGCCGCAAGCAGGGACGAACGAUGAUGGCGAAGCAACUAAAUCUCCCUGGUUACAGCUGUUGCCUUAGAGAAUUUGUUGGAACCUCGAGUCUAAGAUUCCUACAAAAAGCCCUAAAAGCCUAACUAGGGAAUGUCGAACGAUGAUGGCGAAGCAACUGAACGGAGAUGACUCCAACGCGAAUCUGAGAGUUGAAGGCUCUAACUGAAUGAAAAAGCCUCCAACUCUAUGUGACACUGGAAUCGACUUUGAUUCCGGGAAAUUCUUACCCGAAUUCGUCCUCGCCUUCGCCGUAUGUCGUCAACCACAAUAGACAUGGUGUUGACGAGAAUAGUAGGCAGAGAGUUUAUCUGAACGCCGAAAAAGAUAGAAAUGAUUUGAAUUUGGAGGGGGUGGUGACCGAUUUUGUCAAUGGAGGUGAGAUAUAGAGAGAGAAAAUGAAAGGGAUGAAACGACGGGGACUGAGAUAUAGAGAGAGAAAAUGAAAGGGAUGAAUGAAAAUAAAUUUAGGGUUUGAUGUAACGAAUAUAUAUAUUUAAUAAUCUAAUAUAAUUAUUAAUAUUUAAAAUAUAUUAAUUAAUUAAUAAAAUAUCUAAUUUUUGAAAUAGUAAACUUUACAUAUGAUUUAUGAAUUUGAAUCUCUAAAUCUAUUAGAUUGUGUAAUUUUUACAAAAAUUAAUUGCUUGCUAUGGUUUAUUAGCCCAAAAUCUGAAAUUGGUCUCAGGUCCCGCAAAACACUGGUUCAACCCUGACUUUAUGGAAUGUCAUCCACCUAAUUCUAAAAAGAAGCCGAAGGGUGAGAAUGACUUUCCUCGAAAAUGGACUCAUUUUUUUAGUUUAUGUGGAUCUGAUUUAUAGAACUAUCACAGCAAUGAACCAUUAUCUCCAAGUUCAGACGCACCCGCUCUAUGAUUGGAAACCAAACGUUCCAAACGCGUGGCCACGUUCAACCCUUAGCCGCUAAGGCAGACUUAUCCAAUUGGGGAAGUUAUAGUAUGAAUCCAAAUACGUCGAUUUCUUCUCAACUUAAUGGUAUUUACAUUACACGGAAUAUUUGCAAACAUUUGUUUUUGGGUCAAAUUUCAAUUGCGGUCACUUUCCUGUCAAUCAAAUUCCAAUUAGGUCAUUGUAUUUUAUUUUCGUUGAUAGGAUUAUUAUACUUUACUUUGAUCUCUAUUUAAAUUUUUUUUUUUCUAGUUUUGUCGUAGUACGAAUAUUAAAAUUGACAAAUUCAACAAUUAGUAACCCUGAUUCUAUGGACAAAUGACUUUGGUGCCACCUUAAUGUUGUUCCAUGUCAUAAGGGAGUAGAUAAGUGUAUUUUAUACACUUAUUCGGUACCUUAAAUAGCGAUAUUUGAUGGUUUUUUUGACAAAUUAUAUCUUAACUUUUUUUUAUUUUAUGUUUAAUAGGUGAAAUUUUAUGAAGGAAAAGGAUUUGAAGGAAAGAAGCAAAAAAAGGACGAAAAAUAGCAAAAUCCAAAUUACAGGGACUCAACUAGGCAUUGGAUGGCUUGAAGAAAAUAAUAAAUUAAGUGGGCAUAAUUUUUGGACUUGUAUUUGGAUAUGAACUCAUUAAUCAGUUUGAAAUCCUAUUAACAAUAAAAAAAGGGCUGCCACACACACCCACACACAUAUAUAUAGGGGAGUGUUCCUCCUACAUAUGGAUUUGACAAGUAUUUUUAACAAAUAAUUGUGAUCUUUAGAUGAAGUAAAUCCAACGGUCAAUAUGUAUUUCACUAGGAUAAUGAAAGAAUUAGUUAUAAUCAUUUGAGAUUCAUGAGAUACUAACCGUUGAAUUUGUUUUUCAUUUAAAGGUCGCGAUUAUUUGUCAAAAAUACUUGUCAAAUCUACGUGUAGGAAGAACACUUCCCAUAUACACAUAAAGGGGGGCGGGAGGGGAGCCAGCAGGAGAAAUUGGACUCCACUUUGGAGUCAAUUAUUGUGGCUCCAAUACGCAAAGAAUUGAUGAGGAAAACAAAAAAAACAAAAAAACAGGCUGCCAAGGGAAAUAAAGAAAGGUGCCGGCUGGAAUUCAACAAUUGAGGGAAGCCAAUUUUAUUUAUUUUCCACACACUUGAGGCUACUUUAUUAAAUUGAAGGGACGCACGGAAAUUGAGGAGCAGCUUGGAGUUCGUGGGGAAUAAAAUUGCAGACGCCGCCCCAUUCACGCAAGAAGGAAAAACGGCAUAUUCACUUCGCAAAUUAUUCACCGACAGGCAAUUAAUCGGUAAUGAAUUUCUUAAUAACUUCAUGUUUAUCUUUCAUUAUUAUGAGUAGCUAAUUUAUUUUUAGGGCAAACAAUAUAAUUGAUUUGAGAACCUUUAUUUUUUUAUUCGAGACUCUUGUUCGUUAUACUUGCAUGUGUGGAUUUUAAUUAUGUUUUCAAUGUUUUGAAAUUUCUGGUCAAUUAUUCAAUGAUUUUAUGAACAAUAAUUACGUAGAGAUGCGAAUUCUUGUUUAAACCACAUAUUAAAAUUCGAUAAAUUAAUAUAACAUGUAAAGAUACUUAUAUUAAUUGCUGUGGUCCUACAGGAAUUCUUAAAACUAUUAUUUCUUUUAAGUAAUGAUAAAAAUACUGAAAGAAGCGCAGCCAGAAUUUUUCACACGGAGCGACGCCACCAUCAGGGCGCCAAGGUGCCACCAAAACAGAGCCGUGGCAUUGUGGCUCCGCUUGGGUGCAUCUAGGGUGCAUUUUUGGCCCGUUCUGAAGUCUAUGAAAACCCUAUUUUCUACACAUGACAAGACACAUAUAAAUACAAAUUUUUCACAUCUUGAAGGGAGAUUCACACAUUGAGAUGCAAUAGACACACUUAGAGAUUAAAGAGAAAAAUUUAAGAGUACAAAAUAACAAGCAAUUCAAGGGUUAAAGCAUAAAUUGGAAGGAGAAGAAAAUCUUGGUGCAAGAUUUUCUUAUUCAAAACCUAGUGAUAUCUUCCAUAAUAACUUCUUAUUUUUCUUUCAUUACUAUGAGUUGCUAAAUAUAAUUUUAGGGUGAACAAUGUAAUUCAUUUGAGACUAUUUAUUUCUUUUAUUUAAAAUUCUUGUGCGUUAUGAUUAUAUGUGUGAAUUUUAAUUAUGUUAUCAAUGCUUUGAAUUUUUUGGCGAACUAUUCAAUGAUUUCGUGAUUAAUAAGUGCGUAGAGAUGCAAAUUCUUGUUUAGACCACAUAUUAAAAUUCGGUAAAUUAAUAUAACGUAUAUAGAUACUUAUAUUAAUUGCUGUGGUUAUAAAUGAAUUCUUAGAACUAUUAGUGCGUUUAAGUAAGUUUGAUUUGCAUAUAGAUAUGAAAUUGAAAUAUUUAAGUAGGCUCAAUGAGAACUCGAGAGGGGUAAAUUGAAUGCUAUAGAAGAAUUCAACCGAACACUACUUUAGUUUUAUGAAUCUCGAUAUUAGAAAUAAAAGUAACCAAUAGGUGAAUUUGUUCCGCCCUAAUAUCCAUUCAUUACUUGAAUUCUCACUGAUUUUCUGUUGCAUUCACGAAAUUUUUAGUAGUUAGAUUUAAAAAUCACAUUCAAUCAUUUUUUUGUUUUGUUUAUUUUCAUCAAAUAGAAAUUAGGAAUAAUAAAUUGAGUGUUAAAGUAUAGUCCUUAUGGGAAUGAUAAUCCAGAUUUAAAAUGUCCAUUUUACUACUUGUUACGAUUCGUCCACUUAUGAGGAUAAAAUCGACAAUCGGAGUUAAUAUACAAACAUGAGCACAAAGUGCUGAAGUAUAAUUUUUAUAGACCAUCUUUGUUUUCCCCCACCCCAUCGCCUCCGGCCAACUUAGUCCCACCAUUGGACGACAACAAAAGAGUUGAAAAACUCGANNNNNNNNNNNNNNNNNNNNNNNNNNNNNNNNNNNNNNNNNNNNNNNNNNNNNNNNNNNNNNNCAAAUAAUGCCAUUUUGCACAUAUAACACUCGUCAAUAUGGCAAUAUGUUUCAUCGUUGAUCAUUGGUUAAAGCAACUUUAACAACCUCUUUAUUUUUAAAAAGUAUAUUGUACAUAUAUAUCAUCUUUAAAUUUAAAUACUAAAAUUUUAUGCAUGCUCCAACAAACUUUUUAUUUUUAACUUUCUAUUUUACUUUUUGAAAGAAUUUAAUUAUUUUCCACGUUUUUAAUUAAUAUAUAUCUUUUUAACGUUAAUGGCCAAUAAAAUCAAAUAAGAUCUCAAUAAUAGAUGUGAUCCAACCCAUAUGGCACGUUCAAGGUUUUAUUUAAUUUUACUAUUAUACUUUAUAUUUAUUUAUGUUAUUUUAUUAAAUUAGGACUCAUUUUAUAAUGUGUUAUGAGUUAAGGGGCUAAAGGUGCACUUUUAUUAAGGUGAGAAUUAAGUUUUGAUUUCUUAAAACAUUUUCAAUGAUGGUAAAAUUGAUUAUAUUGGCAUCUCUAAAUUCAUUUUUACAUCUCGAUAUAUAUAUAUAUAUAAAAUAAAUUUGGGUGCAAGUUGUUUGGUAACUUUUUAUCUUGUGGGUUACACACGUGAUGUUCUUCUGCUAGAAAAUACACUUUGCAUUUUCUUUACAUCUUUUCAUCGGGAGAUUUUCGACCAAUUUGAAUAUUUAAAUUAUAAUUUAGAGCAUCAUUGGCGAUGCUCUUACUCGUUAAGCAGUAAGUUUUGUUUUGCUUUUCUUUUCUUACUAAAAUUUAAAUAUUGUGAGAUUUUCUCCUAUUUCAAUUCAAUUUUCUGACGUUCGAUGCUAAGUCAGCUACUAUUGUGAUUUGUACUUGUGGGUUGCUUGCUUCCACUACAUUUUCUAGUAUCUGGAGAUGUCAAGGAGAUGCUCGCAACAAGUCUUGGAUGACAAAAUCCGGAGGGAGGAGACGAAGCAAGUUUAACAACAAAUUGACACGAUCUUUACCCAUAGCAAAGAUAUGUUCGGAGUAAAUGGUCAUGAAAUUUAGAGUGGCUAGAGAGGGCAAUUUAAACAUUUUGCAUUUUUUAAUGGUCCAUCAUUUCCCUCAUUUAUUGAAUAUUAAACGCCAUUUCAUAACCGUCCAUUUUCCCUAACCUUUCAUAUUCCGUACCUCCUUUCAUGGGAAGGAGUUUAUAAAGGGAAGUAGUGGUAUUGGUCCCCGAGUUGAGAUUUUCACAAAAUUGCACAAUCGCAGAGAGGUCUUGAAGACUUGGAAGCACCAAACAUAAUUUGAAAUUUGGUAUUUUGAAGAUCAAUGGUUGGAAGUUAGUUUCUGUUAUUUAUUUUUCGCUUUUGAUCUAUAUGUUGCUUGUUUAUCCACACAUGAUAGAUCAAGAUAAAGUCUAACAGUUGGUAUCAGAGCCAUAUUUGCCUCUGCCUUGCUCGCUAAGUUCUCUGCAAUUUUUCUAGAAAUUUUCAGUAAUUUUUCUAGAGAUUUCAAAAUCUUAUUUCAUAGUUUUUGAUGGAAAUAAGGAUAGGAAUCAUUAGGAAAUUAGAUUUCUAACAUUUUUGGGAUUUGAAAUGUAAUUUUUGUUGUCCGAAAGAUAGAGAAACCGUCUGAUUUUUCAUUGGGUCGAAACCGGGUCAAAAUGACCCGAUUGAAGACAAACUGUAGAAAGUAAUAAUUAAAAAUAAUAAAAUAAUAAAAAAACAAGAUGCUUUUUUUCCUUGAACUCACGGGCUCACUUACGUGAAAUAAGGCUACUGUUGUACAGUUAAGUUUGACAAAGAUCAAUUCUGCCAAUUUGUCACUAUACGUGAUUACCAAAUAGUGAGUUGGUCAAAAAUGGUGCAGACUUCCAGGUCUUUUUCAUAACAAAUUAGUUAUGUUAUUAUUUUGGAAUAUUUUAAUAACAUUUUUGACUAUUGAACAUUGAUAAAGUCGGAAUUUUUUGAGUUCUUAUAUCAUCGUGGACCCAUGUGCUGGAAGUUAAAGGGAAUUGUUUAUUGACUUUGUUUUUCUGUGCUAAAGUUAUUUAAUUUUGUUAUUUUGUAAGUAUAAUAUUCUUGUUUUGUUAUACAUGCAAUAUUGAGAUAAAUAAUUUAGCACAUUAAAAUUUUAAUUUUAGAGCCCAUAUUGCUUAUGGAUUUGUGCAAUUUAUACAAGCACAUUUUGUGAAUUAUAUUUAUAAUGUCGAGUGAUCAAUAUAAUUUUAAUUAAUUAGGGAGUAGUCACAGCAUCCUUAAUUAUGUAAAAUUAUAUAUUAAAGUAUAGGAUCACAUAUUUGGGUAAAUAAAUUAAUUGUGGUCGAUCAUAUUUAAUAUAGUGAAUUUUAUCCCGCAAGAAUUUUUAUUUGUAUGAUCAACUAGGAUAAAAUAUUAAAUUACUUUCCUAAUCACCCAUAGGAAUUGGGAAUUGAAACAUGGUUUAAUAGUUUUAUCAUAAAGUUCGUACAUGAAUCUAAUUGGGUAGGACUGUAGCCCACAGGCAAGUUCUAUAUCAUUAGAUUUAUAUUUUGAAGCAUAAUUUUACGUUGGUAAAAUGUAAUUUGAUAGUUUUAUCAUAAAGUUUAUACGUGGAUCCAAUUGAGUAGGACUUUAGCCGACAGACAAGUUCUAUGUCACUAUAUUCAUAUUUUGAAGCAUGAUUUUGCGUUUGUAAAAUGUGAUUUGAUAAUUCUAUCGUAAGGUAUAAUUAAAUAUACCUGAAUAAAAAAAUUUAGCCUAUAGGCAAUUUUUAUGUCAUUAUAUUCAAUUUUAGCAUGAUUUACAUUGGUAAAACAUGCAAUCUACUCAAUAAAAGCCUCAAUUUUAAGAUAAGCAUUAUGCUGCUUCACAAUUUGCUAAUUUUUCUGAUAUUAAAUGUGAUGUUCCUGAACUAAAAUGUGAAGACUAUAAGUUUGGAAGGAGAGAAUUCCCCUUCAUUUGGGGUGGAUAGACAUUGAUUAUGCCAUUAGGAAAGACGAACAAAAAAAAAGACUACGACCAGCAAUCCAGAUGAAAUUACUCUUUAUGAACAAUGGGAGCGAUCCAACCGCCUUAGUGUGAUGUUCAUAAAGAACAAGAUUUCUGCUGGUAUUCGUGGUUCCGUCGAAGAGUAUAAAAUUUUUAAGGCAUUGCUGAAAGCUAUUGAUGAGGAAUUUGAAACUUUAGAUAAAGCACUUGCCAACACCCUGAUUGUGAGGUUUUCAUUCAUGUGGAUCACUAUUGAGAGAGGUGUGGGUGAGCACAUCAUGCAAAUGAGAGACAUUGUGGCUCAAUUGAAGACUCUUGAGAUUGAUAUGUCUGAGUCUUUCCUUGUGCACUAUAUAUUUUGACCACCCUUCCACAUCAAUGUGGACUCUUUAAGAUAUCAUAUAACACACAUAUGGAUAAAUGAUCAAUUAAUGAACUUCUAACCACGUGUGUUCAGGAGGAAGGGAAAUUGACAAAUGGAAAUGAGUGAAAGUGCAUUGACCGCAAAAUGCAAGGAAACGAUGAAAAACAAGGUAUAAGAAAAGGGAAAGGUAAAAUACCUCUCCAAAGUGGAAUAAAAAAGGAAUCCAAGUGUUUUUCUGUAAAAAGAAGUGAUACAUAAAGAAGGAUUACACGAAGUUCCAAAAAUGGCUUGAGAAGAAAUGUAAAUCAAUCUCACUUAUCUGUUAUGAAUCUAAUAUGGUUGAUUUUAUUUCUAACACAUGGUGGAUUGAUUCUGGUUCUAUAAUCCAUAUUUCGAAUACCUUACAGGGUAUGUGAAACCUAAUGAAAUCAGUGAAAGUGAGCAGUGCAUUUAUUAAAAAAAAAAAGAUGCGCUCACAUGUGGAAGCUGUUGGAACAUGCAGUUUAGUUUCAAGAAAUGGAUUUAUUUUGAAUUUAGAAAAGACAUUUUACAUUACAAGUUUUUCUAGAAACUUGAUUUCAAUUCCCAGACUUAUACCUUUGGAGUAUUCCCUCAAUUUCUUAGAAAUAUCUUUCAGUUUAUUUUUUAUAAAUCUGAUGGUUUUUUCUCUGUUAAUCUACAAAAUAAUACUACUUAAAAUGCUAUGCAUGUUCACACUGGUAUGAAACGAUGUGUUAUGAAUGAAGAUUCGGAGAUUGGAACAUAUCUCCAUCGAAGGGAUUAAGAAAUUAGUAGAUGAUGGAGUACUUAGUACUUUGGAUUUUAUUGAUUUCGACACUUGUGUGGACUGCAUUAAGGGAAAGUAGACCAAUAAGUCUAAGAAAGGUGCUGAGGGGAGUACAGACAUAUUAGAGAGGUAUUUGUAGUCUAGAUAUGGACUCAUAUGGUCCGAAAUACUUCAUCUCUUUCAUUUGUGAUUACUCAUAAUACAUGUGUAUCUACUUGCUUCAUAACAAGAACGAAGUACUGGUUGCCUUUAAAGUUUUCACGGCCAAAGUAGAUAAACAAUGUAGAAAGCAAAUUAAUUAUGAUCGUGAGAACAGAUAGAGAUGAAGAAUAUUAUGGUAGAUACACCGAGGAUGGACAAGCACCUGGUUCAUUUGUUGAAUUUCUUCAAGAGCAUGGGAUAGUUACCCAAUGCACCAUGCUUGGUUUCCCGGACCAAAAUGGCGUAGCAGAAUGAAGAAAUCGAACUUUAAUGGACGUGGUGAGGAGAUGAUAAUCCAGCAGAUCAAGAUGUUCAAGAAAAUGCCUGAAAUUGUUGAACCGGUUGAACAACAUGAUCCUCAGGAAAAUGUUGAUACAAUAUUAAGGAAAUCUACUAGAAUAAAGAAAUCAGCGAUACCUAGUGAUUAUGUUGUGUAUCUGCAAGAAUCAAACUAUAAUAUUGGAGCCGAAAAUGAUCUUGAAAUGUUUUCACAAGUAAUGAAUGUGAAAAUGGCAUUUCUCAAUGUAGAUCUAAAGGAAAAUGUUUACAUGAAACAAUCAGAAGGAUUUUCCUCUAGUGGUAGUGAGCAUAUGGUAUGCAAGCUUCAGAAAUCUAUAUAUGGAAUUUCCAGCCAGUGGCAUUUGAAAUUUCAUGAUGUUAUCUCUUCAUUUGGAUUUGUAGAUAAUAUUAUGGAUCAACGUCAGUGGGAGUAAGAUAUGUUCUCUUAUUCUAUAUGUGGAUGUCAUUUUACUUGCAACCAAUGAUAAGGGUUUGCUACAUGAGGUGAAACAAUUUUUCUCUAAAAAUUUUGAGAUGAAAAAUAUGGGUGAUGCAUCUACGUCAUUGGUAUUAAGAUUGAAAGGGACAGAUCUCGAGGUAUUUUAGGCCUGUCUUAAGAGACCUAUAUAAAUAAAGUUUUAGAGAGAUUUCGGAUGAAAGAUUGAUCACCAAUUAUAGCUCCCAUUGUGAAAUGUGAUAGGUUUAAUUUGAACCAAUGCCUGAAAAAUGAUUUGAAAGGAAACAAAUUGAAGAACAUUCCUUAUGCUUCUGCUGUCAGAAGCCUAAUGUAUGCUCAAAUCUGCACAAGACCUGACAUUGCAUUUGCUAUAGGAAUGUUAGGACGAUAUCAAAGUAAUUCAAGUAUGGACCACUAUAAAGCAAUGAGGAAAGUAAUGAGGCACCUUCAAGGGACCAAAAUUACAUGCUUCUGUAUAGACAAACUGAGUUUGUAUAUUGUUUUGAGGCUACCUCGCAUGGUAUAUAGAUGAAGAGUUUCAUUUAUGGGCUUAGAAUCGUGGAUUCAAUCUCUAAGCCAUUGAAGAUAUAUUGUGAUAAUUCAGUUGCAGCCUUUAUGGCUAAGAACAACAAAAUGGUAGUCAAAGCAAGUACAUCGACAUAAAGUAUUUGGCCAUAAGAGAAUGUGUUAAAGAGAAAAUAGUUGUCAUUGAACACGUUAAUACUUAAUUAAUGAUUGUUGAUCCUUUGACAAAAGCCACGCCACCAUUAUGAUUUAAGGAUCAUGUAGGUAAAAUGGGACUUUAUUCCUUCAUGUAAUUUUCGUUAUAAGAAUGAAUGAUUAAUUUGAUGAAACUCUAUUUGUGAUAUUUUCUCAUAUUUAGUUUUCCUUGUGUACACAUUCAUGUUGAGAAAUAUCAUUGAUGUUUGGACUUUAAAAUAAACAUAGGGUUUAUUCAUUAAGUUAUAUGAGCUGGUGUUUAAGAGACAUGAUGCAUUGUAAUACAAGGAAGAUACUACUCGUAUUUAGUAGACCUAUCGUCAUGAUUCAUGUAUUUUUGUUUCUUGAAAGUGAGAAUUGACGGGUUUUGGAUAUCAUAUCGAGUGAAAUGUAUGGACCAAGUGAGAGAAUGUAAACGUUUUGCAUUUUUUAAUGGUCCAUCAUUUCCCUCAUUUAUUGGAUAUUAAACACCAUCUUAAAAUCAUCCAUUUUCCCUAACCAUUCAUAUUUCGUAACUCCUUUCAUGUGAAGGAGUUUAUAAAGGGAAGUAGUGGUAUUAGUCCUCGAGUCGAGACUUUCACAAAAUUGCACCAUCGCAGAGAGGUCUUGAAGAUUUGGAAGCACCAAACACAAUUUGAAAUUUGGUAUUUUGAAGAUCAAUGGUUGGAGGUUAGUUUAUGUUAUUUAUUUUCCGCUUUUGAUCUAUAUGUUGCUUGUUUAUCCACACAUGAUAGAUCAAGAUAAAGUCUAAAAGGCAAAUCAAUCUAAUAUGAUAUGUUAUGUAGAUGUACAUCUCAAACCUGAAUGUAAAAUAUAAUGCCUAGAUUAUUAGAACUCAAGCGUAUUUUAUUCCUGAAGUGCAUUAAGGGAUGUAUAAUACUUGUUGAAGUACAUUAAUAUGGAUUUUUGAUAUUUCACAAAUCUGACACGACAGCCUUAAUUUACUAAUACACCAAUAAUAAUUUUAUUACUUCUCUACGGUUUGAAAACACUUUUCUUGUAUUUUGUACAUGUAGCCAAUUUUAACUGAUGCUACCAAAAAUCGUACCUGGUAGAUCCCGAGCUUGAGGACUGAGAUGGAACACGAACUGCGCCUUCCGGUACUUGAAACAAAGGCAACGAGGUUUGUGCUCGUCGUUCCUCCGAUGCUUAAGUCAGACAGGGGAUUGUGCAAAAGUAUAUGAUACAAUUGUAUUAUAAAAGCGUAUCUCAAUAAUGAAUAUUAGCCGUGUAUUUAUAGGUGUUGGUGAUAGAAUUGUAGGAGGAUUCAACUACUUAGAGUCCUUUCUUCCUAGGGUUGGUGUUUGAGUUUUGUUGAAAGUGUUCUACUUGAGUUUGGAUUUAAGGAGAAGCAUGUUAGACAAUUAAGAUAAGGAUCCAAAGAAUUAUAGCUGGAGCAUGAUUACCUUUCCCCAGAAAUUAUGUUAACUGACACGUGGCCUGUAGUGGACAGUGAGACCCGACCUAAAUCUAUUCUAUAGGCUCGACCUCAUAUUGGGCAAUUUAGGAAGAGUUGGUUGGCCCGACCUUGUAAGCCCUACCUACAUGAAGCCCGACCUCGUGAGGGUUUUGGGGAACAUGUAUGCUCGGGGUAAGUACCUUGGGCUGUACAUGAAUGCUCGAGACCGGGUUACAAUUUUUGUGCAUAUCAUAGGCCCUUGUGCAUCCAUGUCAGUAGCUCAUGCGCAAUAUGAGAAUUUCUGGCAUGAGAUGCAUGAGAAUAGGCAUACUCGUGUUGAGUUAAUAGGCCCCCGAGCACAUUUGAAAGGGGCUCGACCAGAUCUUGUUAAAAUCUUAAAAGAAUGGAGCUCGACCUCAAACUCAUUAAAAGAUUUUGAAAGGAAGGGCUUGAUUUAGAGAUUGUCAAAAACUUCAAUUGAAGGAGCUCGACUUGAAGCUCGUUAAAAAUAUGAAGCGAACAGCUCGACCUGAAACUUGUGAAAGACCUCAAGUGAAAGAGCUCGAACUGAAGCUUGUGAAAGACCUCAAGCGAAAGAGCUCGACCUUGAGCUUAUUAAAGACAUCAAGCGAAAGAGCUCGACCUGAAGCUUGUUAAAGUCAUCAAGCGAAAGAGCUCGACCUCAAGCUUAUGAAAGACCUCAAGCGAAAGAGCUCGACCUCAAGCUUGCAAAGAUUUCAAGCAAAAGAACACGACAGCUUGUUAAAGAUAUCGAGCGAAAGAGCUCAGCUUUGAGCUUGUUAAAGACAUCAAGUGAAAGACCUCGAUCUCAAGCUUAUUAAAGACAUCAAGCAAAAGAGCUCAACAUGAAGCUUGUUAAGGACAUCAAGCGAAAGAGCUCGGCCUCAAGCUUGUUAAAGACUUCAAGCAAAAGAGCUCGACAUGAAGCUUGUUAAAGACUUCAAGCAAAAGAGCUCGACCUAAAGUUUGUUAAAGACAUCAAGCGAAAGAGCUCGGCCUUGAGCUUGUUAAAGACAUCAAGUGAAAGAGCUUGACCUCAAGCUUGUUAAAGACUUCAAACAAAAGAGCUCGACCUGAAGCUUAUUAAAGACAUCAAGCGAUAGAGCUCGGCCUUGAGCUUGUUAAAGACAUCAAGCGAAAGAGCUUGACCUCGAGCAUGUUAAAGACAUCAAGCGAAAGAGCUUGACCUCUGGCAAACUUGAUAUGCGAGAGGCUCGACCACGAGCUCUGGCAAAGCUUGAUAUGUAAGAAGCUUGACCUCGAGCUCUAGCAAGCUUGAUAUGUGAGAGGCUCGACCUCAAGCUUGCUAAAUGUGAGAGGCUCGACCUCGAGCUCCAGCAAGCUUGAGUGUAAGAGGCCCGACCUCGAGCUCUAGCAAAACUGGACAUGUAAGAGGCUCGACCUCGAGCUUCUGGCAAGCCUGAUGUGUAAGAGGCCCGACCUUCAAAUCUCGCAAAAAGGUUGGACCUCCAGCUUUGUCCAGGUGUGUACUGAAAGGCUUGAGCUCGAGCUCACGCUCUUUGCUGGGAUUUUGGCAAUGUAUUGAGCUCGAGGAUAGGCGCCCGAACCCUUGUUUGGAAUAGACAGUGGUCAAAAUUUUUACUUAAUGCAUUGCGAGACAUAGAAGUGCUCGCGCGGGACAAGGCUUUGAGAUGCUUGCUCGGGGACAAGGCUUAGAGGUACUUGUUCGAGGGCAAGGCUUAGAGGUGCUUGCACGGGGCAAGAUUUAAAGGUGCUUGCACGGGGCAAGACUUAAAGGUGCUUGCUCGAGGGCAAAGCUUUGAGUGCUUGUAUGGGACAAGGCUUAGAGGUGCUUGCUCGGGGGCAAGGCUUAGAGUGCUUGCGUAGGGCAAGACUUUCAUGUGCUAUCAUGGGUUGGAAGAGUAGAUUUUUAUUGGGAUAGCAUCUCGACAGCUAAACGAAAUAUGCUGAAAAGUAUAGGCAUGCAAGCCCGACCAACUAACAAACUAAUAUGGGCACGUAGACCUGACUAGCUAAAAGAUAAAACGGGCGCGCAGGCCCUACCAAUUAUGAAAUGAAAAUAAAUGGGGCAUAAAAACAUGUAAGACCCUCGUACAUUAGAUGUAUGGCAUUGACCAUCUAGACAAUGACAUUGAUCGUACCCGCCGUUGGUCUAUUGUUGUCCCCAAUCCCUGAGGUAUUUGCCUAGUUAUGAUCAUUCUUCGAACGCUUGUCUUCACCGAGAUAUGCCCCUAGAAAUCCUCUCUUGAUCAAAGACUAGAUCUCGCGUUGUAAGGCUUUGCUUGUCUCUGUGGUAUGUCCAUGGUCUUGAUGAAACUCACAAUAUUUGUUCAUGUCCUGGGGCUUAGAAGAGGACGUCAUCCUUGACGGCCAUUUGAGCUCUUUCAUAUCCUUGAUCUCCAUCAAAAUGUUAGAUCUUGUGGUAUUCAGGCGAGUCAAGGCUGCUAAAGGGUUAUCAUGCCUUGUCUUACCCUAAGGCUGAUCUUGAUGCAGAUUAAGCUCAUGCUGCCUUUUAAGCGCGGGCUUAGCUGAUGGUGGGGCAUCUCUCUUUGGAAACAUAGUCUCUUCCAUGUUGAUGUACUUCUCGGCUCGAGUAAGUGGGUCGGUUACUGACGUAGGAGGGGUCUUUGAUAGAGACAUCUUGAACGCUUCACACCUUAUGACAUGUGUUAAGGUCGAGACUGUGGCUGUGAUAUGGAGGUCUGAAAUUUGGAAUCUUUCCUUGUUGAAUCUGGUCAUAAAGUUGCAAAGGGAUUCAUUCUGUCCUUGUCGAAGUUGCAUGAGGGAAGCUGUUGUUUUCCUGAUGCGCUUGCUGUUGGUGAAGAAGACGGAGAACUUGUCGGCUAGAUCCGCGAAAGAGGCUAUAGAGUUUGGCUCCAAAGUUGAAAACCAGUCUUGGGCUGCAUUGGUCAACGUUUGAGGAAAAGCUCUACACAUAACUUGAUCGGGGGCAACUUGGAGAUUCAUGACGUUGGUAUAAAUGUUCAGAUGGUUGAUAGGGUCGGUAGUACCAUCAUACUCUUUCACACGGGGAUACUUGAACCUAUCAGGUAGAGGAAAGGAUAAUAUUUCAGGAGUAAAAAGAGUGCUAGGGAUAAAGCCUGUUGCCCCCUUAGCUUUCUGUGCUAGGCUCGCGAGAAUUCCUUCUUGGAUGAUUCUGGCAAGUUCACCUGAUUCCAUCGUUACUGCCCUUGAGGCCGCAGUCAUAGGAGGUACAGUCGAGGUUCCAACACUGUUAUCAGGAAUAUUUUGUGGAGCCCGAACUCGAGCUCGAGCAGCUGCCAUCAGAUCACCGUCCGACGUCGGUGUAUGCGAUGGGUGUGAGUUCCUUUGGCUUAACAAUUGAGUUAAUGCGGUAACUUAUUGGCGGAGCUCUUCGAAAGCUCUGGUGGUAAUGAUGGCCGGUGGUAGUGUUGCCAUCUCUGAUGAUUCCUCUUGAGGGAUAGGAUGAUCUUCAGGGGGAGGAUUUGGAAUAGAUGAGCUUGCUUGUGGAAGACUUGAUCGUGUAUUCACCAUGGCUUUUGGUAGCGCUUCCCACAGACGGUGCCAAUGAUACUACCAAAAAUCGUACCUGGUAGAUCCUGAGCUUGAGGACAGAGAUGGAACACGAACUGCACCUUCUAGUACCUGAAACAAAGACAACGAGGUGUGUGCUCGUCGCCCCUCCGAUACUUAAGUCAGACAGGGGAUUGUGUAAAAGUAUAUGAUACAAUUGUAUUAUAAAAGCGUACCUUAAUAAUGAACCUUGGCCGUGUAUUUAUAGGUGUUGGUGAUAGAAUUGUAGGAGGAUUCAACUACUUAGAGUCCUUUCCUCCUAGGGUUAGGUGUUUGAGUUUUGUUGAAAGUGUUCUACUUGAGUUUAGAUCUAAUGAGAAGUAUGUUAAACAAUUAAGAUAAUGAUCCAAAGAAUUAUAGCUGGAGCAUGACUACCUUUCCCCAGAAAUCAUGUUAACGAACACGUGGCCUAUAGUGGACAGUGAGACCCGACCUAAAUCUAUUCUAUAGACCCGACCUAAGUGGCCCGACCUCAUAUUGGGCAAUUUAGGAAGAGUUGGUUGGCCCGACCUUGUAAGCCCUACCUACAUGAAGCCCGACCUCGUGAGGGUUUUGGGGAACAUGUAUGCUAGGGGUAAACACCUCGGGUUGUACAUGAAUGCUCCAGACCGAGUUACAAUUUUUGUGCAUAUCACUAACAAUUAAAUUGGAGUAAACUGAAAAACUAAUUGCUAAUCUAAUGUCAAGCUUAACUACGCAACCAAAGAAUCAAAGCACAGACUAAGUACAACAUAACAAAAGCCGGCCACGCAAUAGAGGUAUAUGGGCUGCUGUUUCUUCUUGGUAUAGCUCCAUGUAUUGGCCGCACCACAGUUCCUCCACCUCGACCACCGCUCCGGCCUCCACCUCCACCUCCACGGCCGCCUCCCCUUGCUCCAC
rnacentral:lncRNA from 1 species